ACUGAAAAACACGGCAGUUAAGGACCCAGAACAUGACUUGCAUAUUCUUAACCAGGGAUGAUUUUGCCCCCCAGGGGACAUGUGUCCGUGUCUUCAGCCAUUUUUGAUUGUCACAACUUGGGCUCCUGGCACCUAGUGGGAAGCUAGGGAUGCUGCUAAACAUCCUACAAUGCACAGGACAGGCUCCAACAGGAAAGAAUGAUCCGGCUAAAAUGUCAUAAUGCCGAGCCCCACCAGCUCGGUGAUCGGAGGGGCCCGCACCAUGAACUCCUCAUACUGACUGAGGAACAGCCGGAAGCGAGCCAGAUACAUGCAAAUGAACAUGCAGAUGCCAGCCUCUUCCAACGUUUCGCCCUGGCCAGAAGACUUUGCCAAUUUUAUUGAAGAUGCUGCCUGCCAGUUUCCAGGAGAACCUGAAGAGUUUCUCAGUGCCAAUCACUGUGAGCCUGGUAGACAGCAAAACAGUUUGAUGAGUACUCAGCAUUCUGUCCUUCACGUGUGUGACUUGUUAAUCUUCUAAGCCCAGGGGACAGCGGUGUUAUUCAGUUGACAGAAACUGAGAUUAAAAAGAAGCCACAUGACCACCCCAGGUCACUCAGCUAGGUAGGUAGCAGAGGCGGAAUUUGAACCCAGCUCCAUCCAAGAUAAUCCAUAAGGCCCCUGGGAUGAGCCACUUACUGCAUCCAAGCAGGUUUUGCUCUCUGUUUCUGUAACCUUGCAGGACAGAAGCUGCAGAGGGUGGGUAGGUAACAUAUCAAUUAAAGUGACAUCUCUUCCAGGCCUGCUGGUCUCAGAGGACCUGCCUGCUCAAGAGCGUGCACCCAUUGGGAUCCCUUGGUCGGUUCAAGUUAGUGGCAGAAGCCCUUUGGCAGCAGGCAUGGGGGCCACAGUAGAGCCCGUUGGGAUGUCCUGAGGCCAGCCUGCCUCUGCCCAAGGCCUGCAAGUGUGUGUUUUGAACCUCAACAGUUCUGUCCCAUGUGCCGAAGAAGUGACUGUUCUCAGCUGCUUCUUCCAUGCACUUCUGCUCCAAAGUCCAAUCCUGUCUGCACUGCUGCUUUCAUGAAGAAAUGUCAGCUGAAUGCAGCAGCCUGCUUAGUGACCAAGUUGAUUUUCCUUCUGGCACAAGCUCAGCAUCUCCUCACUGACCGCCCUUUGAGUAGCAACGCCAGAAACGACCUGGAGCGUGAACCAGGCCAAGCGUGGUAAGAACCAGGCCUUCAGGGCCCUGGUAGGGUUCUCCGCCGUGUGCUCAGACCCAAGGAUGCCAGGGAGACCAGUUACCUGUACGAUAACGUAGCAUGUGACUUGUGACUCAGCACAUGCUUCCAGAGUCUGUGUACGAUUUGCCUUUUUAUAUGAAUAAGAGCAGAUUUGAGGCUGUUUCUGUAACACGGAAAUUCUCGCUCCCAUCUAGAUGUUCUUUCCCGAGAGGAAGAGAAAGGAAUUUAGGCUAGAAGUGGAGACUGCACUCAAAUUACAGCAUGUGUACGUGCGUGUACACGCAUCAACCAAAGGGCAGUGGGAAUCGGCCACGUUCUGUGGAAGUAGUUGGAGAAUGGGCUGUCCUGCUGUAAAGGUUUAUUUAAAGGUCUCACCCAAAAGGAUUCCACAUACAGACACAGAAAAAGUUCAGAAGCCUCCAGGUUGGUGCCACUUCUUGAUAUCACCACCCCUGUGCUCCUCAGGAAGAGUUAAGAGCCCUAAUCCCUUAAUAGCACUCAGGCUCUGCAAGUGGCCAGACUGUGCCAGGGACAGAUGUCAGUAUAAUUCCUCUUGGCAUCAUCUCUCAGCUAAAUAUCAGGACCCCAAAUCUCUCAUUAGUUCAUUCAUUCCUUCAUUCAGUUGUUUGUACUAAAGUAUCCUUAGGCCUCCGCUGGUGGCCAAAGGUAGUUAUCUAAUUUAUUUUUGAAUAGAGAAUAUAUUUACAUAAUUCGGAAUCAAAAAGUAUUCAGUGAGGGUCUUCUUCCCCUCCCCCCACUCAUCCCCCAGCUGCUCUGAGAGGUAAGGGGGGCUCGCAAUCUCUCAUGUAUCCUCUAAUGUUUUCCUUUUAUUUUCUUUUUAUUUUUUAAACAAACAAUACUUUGCAGGAUUAAAAACCACCAUUAUAAACUUAUGAUGCAACCAAAGUUGAGUGUUCCAAACACUCAAAAGCUUGAGUGUUCAAAGUUGAGUAGUUCACCCUGCUGGAUUGGAAGGGGCAGGGCAGGGCGAGGCAGGUGAUGGGCCAGAGGCUGUUGAUUUGGGCCAGCUGAGAGAUGGUGAGGCUGGGAAGGGCGGGCAUGGAGGCAGGAUCUGGGGAAAAGGUGAGGAGUAGGAGGAGGCGAGAGAAUCAAGGGUAAGGCUAGACUUCCAGCUCAGGGAUGGGGACAUGGUGGGGCCACUCCAGAGGUGCGCAUAGGAGCGGAGAGCCCCAGGUGUGAACAGGACAAGAAAGAGGGGCUGUGGGUCGUCCCAGGGGCAGCGUCCCUCAGGCAGGACAGACUCCGGGCUGGAGUCUGCACAGCGCCUCUCACGAUUCCCAGGGGCUGGGCAGCCCCUUCACACUGGCUAUAGAGUGGUAGGGACCUCUGGGGCUCUGCAGGCCUCGGCGAUAGGUUUGUCAGAUAACGUAUAGCACGACCAGAUAAAGUCGAAUUUCAGAUAAACAACCAGUCACUUUUCGUAGACAUAUACCCCAGCCAGGGGGCUGUCCUAUGCGCUAUAGGAUGUUUAGCAGCAUCCCUGGCCUCUACCCAUUAGAUGCCAGUAACACACGCGCACACACACACACACAGUCGUGACAGUCCAAAAUAUCUGCAGACAUUGCCAGUGUCCCUGCUUUGCUCUCCCCUCUGUGCUGAUAACAUUCGCACUGCCUGAUCGAUGGCGCCACCAUCAGGUUCUGCCGGCCCUGCUUCCACCCGCACCACGUACCAGCUGAGCGGCGGCCUUGGGCAAGUAACUUAACCUCCCAGCCCAGCUUCUCCUCAUCUACAGAGUGAGGGUAAUAGGUAACAAUUGCUUCAACCACAUAAAGAGGCGUGACUAUUAAAUGAGAUCAUUCACGUAAGGUACACAAUAAGCACUCAAUAAGUGUCAGCUGGUAUAAUCAGGAUUUUUAUUAUUUUGAUGUCACUCAUGUGUGUCUGUUUCCCCACUUGACGCUAAGCCCCUGGGGAACUGGAAGCGUUUCAUUCACUGUUACGUCCCCAGCGCCCAGCAGAGGGCUUGGCAGGGAGCAGAAGGUCAGUGAUGUCGAGUGCACUGCUCUGCCAUCACCUGCUCAGCCUCGACCGACCGACCGACACUCUCUCAGUCCCCAAAGCUCCCCAUCCAACCGGCUUCCCUCCCAGCCUCUGCUCCCAGCUGGGCAGCCUCUGGUGCCUCCUAGCAGCCCCACCCUUUUCUCUCCAAGCCCCUCCCUCAAGGGCACACUCAGACUCAGUGCAGCCAUCCAUAAGCAGCUGCCUAGCAUUGCUGCAGGGUUUUCUGCCUCUGAGGGGCCAUGUGCAAGCCCACCAGGGUCCUGUCCACUAGGAGCCAGGCUUUACAGACACAUGUGAGUUGAAUUCGCCAUGAGACCCCCUUCCCAGAGUCUUCGGGCUUAUCCUUGAGGAAGUCACACCAAAGCUUGGAAGUGCAUUUUGCAAACCUACACAUGUGAUAAAAUGGCAUAGAAAUACAGGCAUACACACACACUAUACUAAUGUCAAUUUCCUGGUUUUGCUAUUGAAUGACACUUAUCUAAAUGUCACUAUUGGGGGAAACCCGGUGAAGGGUAUGCCAGACCUCUCUGUCCUAUUUUUGCAACAUCCUGUGAAUUUAUAAUUAUUUCAAAAAUAAAACGUUGUGUUUUUUUUACAAAAGUCUAUUUUGUACUGCAGGUCUCAGUUUGCCCUCUAAAUGAUUUUAGCUUUGAAUUUUUAUAAAAGUUUGAGCCAAACUGAUGACCUAUGACAGGGAGAAAGAUCUCAAAUGCUCCUUAAGUAAAUUUUUUAAAUUAAAAAAAAAGUCAUAGUUGAGCAUCCACAGACUAACACCCCUCGGGGUUCAGGUGGGAACAGGCAAAGAGAAGGUCAGAAACAGCCCCGAGAAUCAUGGUGACACGGAACUACUGGGAAAGAGAACGUUCGAGAAUCCUGCCCAGGCUGGGCAUUCUUGGCUCUGUUUCCACCACCACACAGGACUCAAACGAAGGUGGUUGCAUUCUCCUGGAUGACACUGGGGAGAGGGUGGGGGAGUGGGCAGAGCUGGCCUGUGCUCCCAGUGGACCAGCUGGGACUCCGCCCCCAUAGCACAAAGCGGACGUUAGAAGGAGGGUUUGAAGUUGAGACACAAUAGAGUUUAGUAACUGGCACAGCCUGUUUCCUCCCACUCAGGGGAGCAUCCUAAUUGUGAGUGACAUGCAAGGGAGUCCCUAAGCCCUUUGAUUUCAGGAGCUAGUCCUUCCCAAGCUUCAGUGCUUAAACCAUGGUGGCUCUGCCCACCACCUGCUCCCCUCUCCACCUUCCUGUGACCCUUCACUGGCAGUACCCGGAGGGUAUAACCGACAGUCCCCGCGACAUCACCCAGGACAGGGAGGAUCUUGGGUUCUCAGUGGGCUGGGGAGAGGGUCAGAAGUAUGCUAUAGGAGGAAUGGGACAUUCUGUAGGCCAGAAGUGAGUCUUGAGAGGGAAGUUCAUGCUGGUGUAUGUAGGUAUGUACGGCCUGAGAUACUUUAGCCAAGAAAUAACAAUACCAGGAGUGUCACUGCCCCCUCCAUCCUCCCCACUCCUCCUCCCAGAUCCACUGGGUCAGAGAGAGUGAGGCCCUUGCCCACCCCCAGCUGGAGCCAGCAGACCCUGAGACAAACCCGGCAAAAGCUGGGUGCCCAGGGAAAGCCAGUGAUACUCAGCUGACACCUGAGGUUGUGGACUAGGGGACUAAAUUACUCUAUAGUGAGGGUCUCCUGAGCGUCAAGCCUUGGGAAGGGCACAGGCACCCAGCAAGAGGAGAUGACAAGAGGAUGUGGCAGAAGUGGACAGUUAGAGAUCCAGGAGGGUCCUGGGCAGCAAGAGCUUGUCCUUUGUGCAAUCCAGAGAAUAGGUGGUGGGCCAGGGCCACCUCACAACACACACAAACACACACACACACACACACAGAGUUUCGUCUGCUUUGCAUAACUGCAUCAACCUUUCAGUUAAAAACAACACAAACAAACAAACAACAACGAAAACUGCUAACCCUUUCCUUGCAGCUGAACGCACGUUCCCUCCAGAGAAAAUAAGCAGAGCUAACACUUGGUGAGCACCCGGGAGUCAGGCUCAGGCCCUAAAUCGGGAUCUUCCUAUCUCAUUUAAUCCUCACGCUGGAUGAAAUGAGAGUCACGCUGGCACAGAACAAUGAAAUUGCCCACUUGGCACCAGCAGCCACCCCCACGCCCUCCAG